AGGAGUUGUUCUGCCUUGCUCGCUUGACCGCAGGCUAGGUGGGGAGGAGAGACCGGUUCUCGGGUCUCCCGGCUUCGGCCGGCUCGCCUUUUCGGCGGGCGGGUUGAGGUCGGGUGAGCCUUGCGGCCUGAGCUCGUCUGCUCGGUGCCGAUGACGCCAUGUCCGGCCUGGUCGGAGCCCUCGGCUCUCCAGGCUCGCUGGCGGCCCUUGGUGGGAUGCGGGGAUGGUGAUGGUGAUGAUGAUUCUUCGUCGUCGUUUUCUGCGUCCUGCCUCGGGUUUGAAUGUGCACCUGCCCCCCCCCCCCAGUGGAGGGUUGUGAGAAGGAAAAGGUGAUGGAGUUUCUUAGCUGUGGUGCUUGGUGGUGAGGUGGAUGGGUGGCCUGGCUGGCUUCGUCGCCGGUUGGGGGCUGCCCGUCCGCCUCCCCCUUUGCUCCUGAACAAAGAAAAUAUCACACCGUACAGUGGAUCACUUGGCUCGGGGGUCGGUGAAGAACGCAGCUAGCUGCGAGUCGGAAUGUGAACUGCAGGACAUAUGGAGCAUCGACACUUUGAACGCACAUUGCGGACAUGGGCUUGUCCCCUGUCCAUGUCUGGCUCAGGGUCGGCUUUACAUCCAUCCAGCUUGAUUGCUGGCUUUGGGGUUUGUCUCCUCGGCUCGGCUUAGCUUCGAUGCUGAGGAGUCCCCCUAAGAUGUGCCGCCUGCCUAGCCGGAGGUGAGCUCCUUGCUGACUCUUGGGUGUGACUCUGCGUCUGCCUGGGUUGGCGAACUGAAGGGGGCUCGCUUCUGGUGGCGGGCUUGCGGGAGGGGGGGUUUUCUGGUUCCCCCGCCCGAACUGGGCUGCGAUGGACGGCUGGCCUUCCGAAAGGAGGGCUGGCCGCCCUUCGCCGCCUUGCUGUUU
rnacentral:rRNA from 1 species